UCCAGAUCCUGAAAAGGAGGGCGAAGAAUCAGUGGCCAAAUCUAACCGCUUCAUACUCACACUUCAUCCUCCUAUCUCCAGGCCACCAUGUCUGCAGUAAACGGCACCCCUUGGGGGUCCUCAGCGCGGGAGGAGGUCUGGGCAGGAUCGGGAGUGGAGGUGGAGGGCUCAGAGCUGCCCACCUUCUCGACAGCAGCAAAGGUCCGAGUGGGAGUGACCAUUGUGCUGUUUGUUUCUUCGGCUGGAGGGAACCUGGCUGUCCUGUGGUCAGUGACACGGCCGCAACCCAGCCAGCUCCGCCCCUCUCCGGUCAGGAGACUCUUCGCCCAUUUAGCAGCCGCCGACUUACUAGUCACUUUUGUGGUUAUGCCCCUAGAUGCCACCUGGAAUAUCACUGUUCAGUGGCUGGCUGGGGACAUCGCAUGUCGGACACUCAUGUUCCUGAAACUAAUGGCCAUGUAUGCUGCAGCUUUCCUGCCUGUGGUCAUUGGACUGGAUCGCCAGGCAGCAGUACUCAAUCCGCUUGGAUCCCGCUCAGGUGUAAGGAAACUUCUGGGGGCAGCCUGGGGACUUAGUUUCCUGCUUGCCUUGCCCCAGCUGUUCCUGUUCCAUACCGUCCACCGAGCUGGUCCAGUUCCCUUCACUCAGUGUGCCACCAAAGGGAGCUUCAAGGCUCGAUGGCAAGAGACCACCUAUAACCUCUUCACUUUCUGCUGCCUCUUUCUGCUGCCACUGACUGCCAUGGCCAUCUGCUAUAGCCGCAUUGUGCUCGGUGUGUCCAGCCCCCGGACAAGGAAGGGGAGCCAUGCCCCUGCCGGGGAAUUUGCCCUCCGCCGCUCCUUCGACAAUCGUCCCCAUGUCCGUCUCCGGGCCCUGAGACUGGCCCUGCUCGUCUUGCUGACCUUCAUCCUCUGCUGGACACCUUAUUACCUACUAGGUCUGUGGUACUGGUUCUCCCCAAGCAUGCUAAGUGAAGUCCCUCCCAGCCUCAGCCACAUCCUUUUCCUCUUUGGCCUCCUCAAUGCUCCUUUGGAUCCUCUCCUCUAUGGGGCCUUCACCCUUGGCUGCCGAAGAGGGCACCAAGAACUUAGUAUGGACUCUUCUAGGGAAGAAGGGUCUAGGAGAAUGUUCCAACAGGACAUUCAAGCCCUUAGACAAACGGAAGUACAAAAAACUGUGACAUCAAGAAAGGCAGGAGAAACAAAAGACAUUUCUAUAACAUCAAUCUGAUCCUAACACAGUAUAGAGAAACACAAUAAUUCUUUAAUACCAUAAGAUCUUAACGUCUCAAUUUCCUGCUCUCCUAAUCCCCCCCAAAAAGAAAUACUGAGCAGUGUCUCCAUUUUAAACCCUGCCUGAACUUGAGACUAUGUCUAAUACAGAAACUCACACAACUAGCCUGGGCAACACAGUGAGACCUCAUCUCUAUAGAAAUAUUAAAAGUUUAGCCAGGCAUGGUGGCAUGUGCCUGUAACCCCAGCUACUUGGGAGGGUGAGGCAGAAGGAUGGCUUGAGCCCAGGAGUUUGAAGCUUCAGUGAGCUAUGAUCGUGCAGCUGCCCUCCAGCCUGGACAACACAGCAAGACUCUAUCUCAAAAAAAGAAAAAAAGAAAUACAUACAGUUCAGUCCCUAGGAGUAUCUUCACAAUGCUCCAUACUGCCUUACUAUGCUUUAGAACUUUUAAUUUUAGGACAGGAAAGUAACAUUAAAUGUAGAAAACAAAAAAUUGAACAUUUAUUUGCAACUCAAAAGAAAUACUACACACAUAGGGUAAGAGAUUAAAUAUAAACACAGCAAGUUCCACCCCAGUCCUGUUUGUCCAAGCCUGCAUGGCCAAAUGGAAUCUUGAAGAGAACACCUGGACAACAGACGACCUGUCAGCGACGUCUCCGGUCUGGACUUCUGCUGCGUCUUCGGCCACCUCUAGGGAACAAAGAAGCAGGGAAAAGUCCAUUAGAGGGACAUAAUACUACGCCCUCAUUCUGUUUCGUUCGUAUUCCCUUCACCCAAACAGUGUUUGCCCUCUUCAUUUUACCUCCUCUUGCCUUUUGGUGGACCCCGAACAAAACACCAGUCAACACUGAUUGGCUGUCCCAUCAAAUCCUGGCCAUUGAGUCCCUCCAUAGCAGCCUGGGCCUCCUUGUAUGUUUCAUACUCAACUAGAGUAUACCCCUGGGGAAAGUGAAAAGACAGAUAUGAAAACCCUCCUAUUUCCCCAAGCAUCACUGAGUAUCCUUUUCCUCAAAUUCAAUCUCAGAAAAACCUAUAAACUUUAAGCAAUGAAUGUACAUCAUAUAUCUCUACUGUAUAUAUUCAUCAUGUCUGUUUCUGUCUCUUCCGUGUCUGAUAAAACAUGGAUUUCCAAUGUCAUUUUAUUUCAACUUUGCUCCAACCACAUCAAACACAGAACUACCAAUACUAAGAGUUAUGAAAGAAGAGAGGCAAUGAAGUAUCACUUCAUUGGAUACCUUCAGAUAUCCUGUUCGCCUGUCGAGGUUGAGGUGAAUGUUUUUAAUUUCCCCAUAUUCUGCGAAUUUGUCGUGUAUAUCUUCUUCAGUGGCUUCCUCGUGGACUCCAGUAACAAAGAGAAUCCAGCCUUCAACAGCUGUUGAGGGACGGAGGGAAGUUGUCUAAGUACAUGAGAGAAACACUUCAAGCAGGCUCACAGGAGUGGACUGAGUGCGGAUUCAGAUUGUUUUUGUUUUUGAGAUGGAGUCUUGCUCUGUCACCAGGCUGGAGUGCAGUGGCGCAAUGUCUGCUCACUGAAUCUCCACCUCCUGGGUUCAAGCGCUUCCCCUGCCUCAGCCUCCCGAGUAGCUGGGACUAAAGGCGUUCACUACCACGCCUGGCUAAUUUUUUGUAUUUCAGUAGAGACGGGGUUUCACCAGGUUGGCCAGGAUGGACUCGAUCUCUUGAUCUCAUAAUCCAGCCGCCUAGGCUUCCCUAAGUGCUGGAAUUACAGGUGUGAGCCCACUGCACCAGGCCAGGGAUUGUUUAAACUAUCUCUGAAUCCAUUUCUACUGCGUUUAACUAUUUUAUUGGUUUCUAACUACCAUAAACACGGAUAACUCACAGGUUCCAUUAUUACUCACAGCGUUGUGGCCCGGGUUCAUCGCCAUCCUGCUCCACGCUGUCAUAAUCCUCACGCAUCCGCGCUCGGGACCCCUCUUCUAUAAGGGACAGACACGAGAUCACCGAAACCUCCUCCUUUCUCCCAUUGUUCCUAUGAGUUAGGUGGGGACUCCAAAACCCGCAGCUCUACCCGACUUUGCCCACACUCACCGGAGCCAAAGCCGCGGCCCUUCCGUUUCUUCGCUUUUUCUUUUAGUUUGUGAAUGCUCUCUGGAGCCCAAGAAAAGAAGAGACCGCCUCCACUGUCCUCACCGUCCCCAUCCUCAUCCAUGGCGAAAUCUUCGCCCCCGGCCUCGUGAAGAUCUAGCACGUCCGCCAUCUUGCCUUCGAUGGAGCUCUCGUCUGUGCCGCUCAAACACUAGGCACCUCGGGAAACUGUCGCAGAGGGGAAAGGUCACCAGUGAAGCUGACCAAUCAAAGGCUAACUCUAAAUCCCGCCCUCGGCACGGUAAAAAUACGCAAUGGGGGCGGGCCUAGUUCAGGAAGAUGCCGGAAGUGUUUCUGUGGCCAUCUUGAGCAGGUCGCGAGCUAAAUGCUGCCAUGUUGGGAGGUACCGAUUACAGGGGUUAGUUGCCUCCUCUUAGCCGCCGCAGCUGUUGAGAAAUACUGUACUAUUCACAGUAAGGAUCGGCGUAAUUUCCUUGUUAGAGGGCUUCAUCCCAAUCCGGGAAAUGGUAACUGAAGAAACUUUUUCAAAAAUUCCAGGCCUUUACCCUGUUCCGAGGCAGAGUGCUGUAUGAUAGGAGCGUUUCUAAAAAAUAGUUUGAUAUAAAGCGGCAUCUUCUGAGGUAAGAAAAAAAAGAAAAAAAAAUAGUUUGAUAGCAGUGCGGGCACGAAUAACUGCUUCUGAAACAUUCUGCAGCACCGAAUUUGUCUUCAAGAAACUAACAGACCUGGUUGCAAUACGAUUGGUGAGACAGAUAUCAGGGGUUUUUUGUUUUUAAACUCCCUACCUGUAAUCCCAGCUACCCAGGAGGCUGAGCCAGGAGAAUCGCUUGAACCCGGGUGGUGGAGGUUUGCAGUGAGCCGAGAUCAGGCCGCUGCACUACAGCUUGGGUGACAGAGCGAGACUCCGUCUCAAAAAAAAAAAAAAAAGAUAAAACUCCCUUAAUACUUCUGGGAAUUACUCGUAUUAGCUUUUAAAUUAUAUCAAUUAUGGCCUUCAGCAAAAUAGGGGCUUUAUCUUUUUUUCAGGAUGGUACAGGUAUUUCACGUUUGCAAACCUCAGAUUUGAAACAGUGGCCCCCCAAAUUCUGGAAUCCUGAUGUAAACCUUAAAAAGUAGUGGGCCAGAUUCACUUAUUUCUGAAUGCCUGCAUGGAUGUCUAAUAUUAAAGGAGUUGCUGGCAAUAAAAGGGCAAAUAAUUACAUUAUAAACAUUGUAUGAGAGUGAUAAUUGCUGUCAUAAAGUGCUGUGGCAGUACAAGGAAAGUUUCUAGGAACUGCAAGAACUUCGGGUUUCAAUUGGACCUUUGAGGCUAAGUACUUUUCCAGGCAAAGAAGUUGUAUUGAGAUUAGGAGACCCUUCUGUGGGAAAACUGAAAAUUAAAAGUGAGAAAGAGGGCCGGGUGCACUGGCUCAUGCCUGUAAUCCCAGCACUUUGGGAGGCGGAGGCUGUUGGAUCACCUGAGGUCAGGAGUUUGAGAGUAGCCUGGCCAACAUGGCGAAACCCCAUCUCUACUAAAAAUACAAAAUUUAACUGGGCAUGGUGGAGUGCACCCGUAAUCCCAGCUACUCGAGAGGCUGAGGCAGGAGAAUCACUUGAACCCGGGAGAGGAGGUUGCAAGCGAGUUGAGAUCUCACCACUGCCCUCCAGCUUGGGUGACAGACUGAGACUCCAUCUCCAAAAAAAUAAAUAAAUAAAAUAAAGAAAAAGAAUAAAGUGAAAAAUAAAAUUUAAAAAGCAAUUAGGAGACACUAAUGCAUUUUCACAGUAGGUAGUGUGACCGUCUUAAAAAUCAGUGUGGUUACAUACCUACUAACUCCCCCCCGCCCCGUAACUUUUUUUUUGAGACAGAGUCUUGCUAUGUCGCCCAGACUGGAGUGUAGUGGUGCAAUCUUGGCUCGCUGCAACCUCAACUUGUUGCAGUCUCCGCCUCCUGGGUUCCAGGGAUUCUCCCGCCUCAGCCUCCUGAGUAGCUGGGAAUACAGGCGCCUGCCACCACACUGGCCUAAUUUUCGUAUUUUUAGUAGAGACGGGGUUUCACGAUGUUGGCCAGGAUAGUCUCGAUCUCCUGACCUCGUGAUCUGCCCACCUCAGCCUCCCAAAGUGCUGGAAUUACAGGCAUGAGCCACUGCUCUGAGCCAAAAACCCUUUUUUGUUAGAGGGGUCUGGCUAUAUUGCCCAGGCUGGCCUGAAACUCUUGGGCAUGAAGGAUCCUCUGGUGUCCCAAGCAGCUGGGACUACAGGCAUGUAACCCUGCACCUGGCUCUUCCCUUGGCUUUUUGCUGCACUUAGAAUAAAAAUUCAAACUCACACAGCCAGCUUGGCCUGUGUCUUCAACCUGUUCAACCACCAUUCUUCCCUGUUACCCAUUGAGCUCGCCCUACACUUUCAGUCAACUGUGGUGUACUCUUUCUCAUCCCAGGGCUUUUGCAGCUUUUUUAAAAAUUUGAGAUGGAGUCUUGUUCUCUCGCCCAGACUUGACUGCAGUGAUGUGAUAUUACCUUACUGCAACCUCCGCCUCCUGGGUUCAAGCUUUCUCCUGCCUUAGCCUCCUGAGUAGCUGGGACUACAGGCGUGUGCCACUACACCUAGCUAAUUUUUGUAUUUCUAGUAGAGAUGGGGUUUCUCCCUGUUAGUCAGGCUGGUCUUGAACUCCUGACCUCAGGUGAUCUGACAGUCUCAGCCUUCCAAAGUGCUGGGAUUACAGGCAUGAGCCACUAUGCCUACCACUAACUUGUUUUUCCCAUUAAAAUUAAUCCUUAUGGCAGAGAUAGUUAUUUACAGCUAAAACCCCCAAAGUUUAGCCCAGUGUCUGGCUCGUAGUAGACAUUUGGUACUUACUGAAUGAAUGGAUAUUAGAAUAGCAAGAAAUUCUGUCUUCCUGCUGUUAUGUAACUGGAAAAUAAAGCUGGAAAUACAGUUUAAGGUCUGCUAUGCUAAGGAUUUUGGAAUUUAUCCUAUAAGCAAGAAAUUACCUACUUCAAAUAUUUAAGUAUUCAUGGUUUUUAAUAUUUGCAAAUAGUCCCCAUACUAGUUUUUGCUUAUUUUCCCUUAGACUGACUUUAAACAUAAAUUUACACUGAAUAGAAAAUCAAUAUUUUUCUAUUACAAAUUUAGAUAAAAGUGAGCUCUUAAUUUGUUUUUAAUUCUGAAAAACUCUGCUUCUUGGCAUCCAGGAAUUAUAGACUGAGCCUUUCAUCUUCUUUCUCAAAACUAGUUUUUGAUGCUAUCUUUCAAGGGAAUAGUCACUUUAUAAUUUUGUUUAAUAAACUGCAUUGCUGGAAUCACAACCAACCAAAUUUAGAUAAAAGCAUAACUAUUAAAAACUGUUUGCCGGGCAGGCGUGGGCUCAUGCCUGUAAUCCCAGCACUUUGGGAUCCCGAAGCAGGCAGAUCACGAGGUCAGGAGUUCAAGACCAGAUUGGCCAAUAUGGUGAAGCCCUGUCUCUACUAAAAAAUACAAAAAUUAGCUGGGCAUGGUGGCUCAUGACUGUAAUCCCAGCUACUUGGGAGGCUGAGGUAGGAGAAUUGCUUGAACUGGGACCCGGGAGACAGAGGUUGCAGUGAGCCAAGAUCGCACCACUGCACUCUACCUGGGCUACAGAGCGAGACUCCAUCUCAAAAAAAACAAAAACAAAAACUGUUUGCCCAUCUAUCAUCUAAAAUAAUCUCAGGAACACAUAUAAAACUGGGAAAUGGUAGGCUGGGCAUUGUAGCUCAUGACUGUAAUGCCAGCACUUUGGGAGGCCAAGGUGGGUGAAUAGCUUGAGUUCAAGAGUUCAAGACCAGGCUGGGCAACAUAGCAAGACCCCAUCUCUAAAAAAAAAAAAAUUAGUUGGGUAUGGUGGUGUGUGCAGAGUAGUACCAGCUACUCUGAAGGUUAAGGUGGGAGGAUCCCUUGAGCCUGGGAGGCAGAGUUGCAGUGAGCCAAAAUCACGCCACUGCAUUCUGGCCUGGGCAUUAGAGUGAGACCCUGUCUCAAAAACAAACAAACAAAAACACUGGGAAAUGCUGCUAAAGGUAGAUAGCUAAGUGAAGGCUUAAGCAAGGGAGUGUCACAGUCAUAAGUAUUUUAUAAAGAAAUACGACAGUAGUAAAAAUUACAAAAAAAGAAAAAAAAAGAUAACGACAGUAGUACGGAGCAUGCUAAGAUCAGAGGUGAAAACCAGCUGGGAAGCUAUAGCAGUGAUCCAGUCUGGAGAUGAGAAAGGACCGAACCUAAACUAAGGCAGCAGAUACAGACAAAACAUAUCAGGAGGUAGGCCGGGCACGGUGGCUCACACCUGUAAUCCCAGCACUGUGGGAGGUCAAGGCGGGCGGAUCACCCGAGGUCAGGAGUUUGAGAGCAGUCUCACCAACAUGGUGAAACCCCGUCUCUGCUAAAAAUACAAAAAUUUGCCAGGUGUGGUGUUGGGUGCCUGUAAUCCAAGCUAUUAGGGAGGCUGAGGCAAGAAAAUCGCUUGAACCGGGGAGGUAGAGGUUGUAGUGAACUGAGAUUACACCAUUGCGGUACAGCCUGGGUGAGAAAAGCAAAACUCCAUCUCAAAAAUAAAAACAAAUUUAUAUAUAUGUAUUAGGAGAUUAGAGGGCGGGGUGAAAAAAAGGAGAUGAGGAGGUAGACUCAACAGUGACUGGUUAGAGUGUGGUAGAGAAGAGUUGAGGGUGGGUCUGAGGCGUGUGGCUUACGUAACAGGGUAGACAAUAAUUCGAAUAAUAGAUCUAGAGAGUCAAAGAGGAAUGAGUAUGGAGAAAUAGAUUUUAUUUUAGAUCUGUUUCAAAGUGCUUUUGUCAUAUUCAGGUGGCCAUGUCUAGUAUGCAGAAAAUAGAUGUAAAAGCUCAAAACAGGUUGGGGAAGAAAUAGAUUUGAGAGUCAUGUGUAUAGUGGAAUUGAAGCCACCACAGUGGAUGAGAUUGCCAGUCGCGGGGUAGAGCUUGAGGAGAAAGGGCCAAGGACAAAGUCCAGGUGAAAUGUCUGGAGAAAGGGAGGCAGGCUGCCUUUCCCCAGCUGAACAAUCAUUUCUACCACCCCAAACAUGCUAAUACAAAUUCUUAUUUAUUAUAUAUGUAAAAGGGCAGGGAUGUUUUAGAACUUCUCUUGAUAGAUACGUCUCAAGAAAGAGUCAGUCUGGCUCACUAGACAAAAAUCUAUUUUUAAUUGUAUAAAAUUAUACAUAUAAAAUACAUAGAAUGUACUAAGAAGAUGAGUAAAAUCUUUGACACCGAAAGUGGACAGAUCAGGAAACAAUUUUUCUCAAGCUGUUUGGGAAUCUUACUGGUUGGUAUUUGAGGAAAGUAAUAAAUCCAGGAGGUACAAGGGCAAUUCUUCCCACAACUCACAGCACUUAACCCACACUUCUUCUCAGAGAAGGGAGCACAGGAGAAGCUGGAGCGUUGACGAGUGCAGGUUAUAAAUAUCCACACAAACACACACACCUGGUACGUCUAGCAGUUUGUGCUUUAGUCCAACCCACCGUGUGUUUCAUGGAAUACAAAGAUGGGACUUCAGAACUCUACCUCUCUUCUGAUUGGUAAGAAAAAAAUAAUGAUGAGGCCUGGAGAAUUCAAGGAAGCCUGUUUCAAGCCCCAGUAAAAGUGUAGCUGGAUUCCCUACCUCUAAUCCCAUAGUACUCGUCACCAUGAUUUCAAAAGCAAGAAGCUGCCUUUCAUCUUGCCUCUAUCAAAUCCAAAAGAGCAAAUGAUGGCCCAGUUCCUAAUCUAUUUCUUUUUGUUGUUACACUUGAACUUUCUGUUUGGAACCUAAUCUUUUCUAAGGGUAAAGUGUAUAAUUGUUAAGUGGAAAGUCCAAUUGCAGGAAAACUAAACUUCCCAUGCUCAGUUUAGAAAGUACAUGGAACAAUAAUGUGGUAUAAAAGAGAUGACAGAAACAAGGGGGAUAUGUCUAUUAGAGACCUCCAAAAAAUUCUCCCAAAGGAGACCACUUUAGCUACUCUACUCCAGUUUGUUUUUCUCUUAUGUCACCCAGGAGAGAGGUGGGGAAGAAUGGUAUUAAAGACACAGAUAGGCUGGGCACGGUGGCUCAUGCCUGUAAUCCCAGCACUGUGGGAGGCCAAGGCAGGUGGAUCACCUGAUGUCAGGAGUUCAAGACCAGCCUGGCCAACAUGGUGAAACCUUGUCUCUACUAAAAAUACAAAAUGUAGCCAGGCAAGGUGGCAUGUGCCUGUAAUCCCAGCUGCUCGGGAGGCUGAGGCAGGAGAAUCACUUGAACCUGGGAGGUGGAGGUCACAGUGAGCUGAGAUCAUGCCAUUGCACUCCUGCCUGAGUAACAGUGCAAGACUCUGUAUCCAGGAAAAAAAAACACACACACACACAAAUAGUUGAUCAUUGAUUCUCUUUCCCUUCCUGCAGCCUCUGAAGGUAUCAAUUAGGAAGUGCCAAAAUACUAAAGUCUCAUUUAAUUUUUCUGAUGAACUCAUAUUCAUGUAGAACAAGAGGAAAGAAAAGAGAGAAAACAAGUGAGACUCUAAGGCAGUAAACAGCAGCAACGUAGCGGGAAUAUGGGGAACAUGGUCCUCACUAACCAAAUAGGACUGAUGACGCUUCCAAAAAAUAAAAUGUUGGCUGAAGGGAAAUAUGGAAAUAUGUUUUACCUUCUACUAAUAUCUGCAGGCAGGAAGGUCUAAACACAGGGUUUAACUAAGCUGGGUGAGGAGGGGAGAUGUGCAGAAGAAAUACUGAAAGAUAAUCAGUUUCAAACAAAACCCCCAUCUUACUGUAGCGUAUAGCCAGAAAUCUAGACCAUUAGUAUGGUAUGCAUAUGCCCUAGAAGCAACUUGGGUAGUAAACUCCCAUGAACUGUUUGUAAUUUACCUUGUCCCUGGGCAGUUUCUUAGGAGUGGUUUCAGAAGCAAGAUCUCUUCUUCCUUCAGAAUAGUAAGGUAGGGAAGCCUGAAAACAAAGCGGCAUUUGGAGGCAGCGAGGAGUAAGGUAGCGGUGGGAGGAAAGGGAUACCAAGCAGGUUCGGUUCAAGAACUAAAGGCAGGAUCUUCAUACUCGUACCAUGUUGGAGCCCAAGAGGAAGCAGGAGUGAGAGUAAGGAUGGGGCAUAUAAUCCUCAUCCUGAUACUUGAAAAGACUGAGAUACAUGAACACCGAGCCAAUCUUGGUGCUACUGAAAUGACUACAGAAGUCACUGGCAGUUUAGGAGCUAACAAAGCUUCAAAGACCACCUGCUCUUUCUUGUAAAGUGGAGUAAAGGUGUUGCAAAUAAAAGUGCAUCCAAAAGCUGGAAGUAAGAAAAGGGGUCUCUUAGCAAAUAGGAAUCUAGGUGUAGAAUUUAUACAUGUACAUAUAUAUAUAUAUAUAUAUAUAUAUUUAAG